AAAUUGUGGUGACAGGUUGUUUCGUCGGCAGAAGUAUGUAAUUAUACACAAACUUUUAUUAAUAAACUAUUGUUUGGAUUCGAGCUUCGUAGGCUUCGAUAUUUUGUAAGUAUGGUAGAUUUUGCACACACCACGAAAAUGAAGAGAUAAUUCAACGAUUUUCGUGCAAAUAUGAUAAGUAGCUAAUUACUGAAAUUAUUUUAAGUCGUCAAUUUUCAAUAUGGAUACCAAUUAUAACAAUUUAUGGAAGAAAAACAAGAUAUAAAUUUCCAUAUAGAAGGAAAAUGAAUAUAAUUUUUGCAAUAACUUUGGCUUACGACGGCAUUGACGGUAGUGCAGAUUCAUCGCAUCAAUUGGUGCAAGAAUACACUUCGCGACUGGUAGAUUUUGAAAUCAAAGCUGUAAGUUUUAAAUACUUGUUUGAUAUUUUCAAAAAUAUGCUUUGAUAGAGGAAUCGCCUGAGGAUAUUUUCAUUCAUAUUAAAAUUCGAGUUUAUGUUUGCGAAUUGUAUUUUAAUUACUUUUUGAAUAAAUACAUUAUGAAUUUUUUCCAUAAAGUAUUAAAAUUUCCACAAUUGAUUACAUCGACAGAAGGUAAAAAUGCGAUAAAUUAGAGUCGUUAAAAUUUGAGAUACGAUGAUAUUAUACUAUAUUAAAAUCUAUUAGCCCGGUAUACACAAUUAAUCUAUUUUUCUCAGCUCAGGAUUUUCAGGUUUAAUCCCUUCCGUGUUCAUUGCCAGGAUCUCACUCACGUGGCGAGGUGUUACUUGGGUGAGAGAGAGGCGAUGGGCAUGAUGACCCUAGUUGAUAAGUUUAAAUCAAAAUUUCUCGGCGCCCGACGAUACGUCGGUGGUGCACGACGUAUUUUCCACGUUGCACGUACGUAUGUGUAAUCACUCUAUGAGAUUGCGCCGUUUCGAUCAUUAUUUCUGUCGCUAUAAUUAAUUACAAUUGCAAUAUUGCGCAAUAUUGAUGUAUGUAAUUAAAUAUAAAUAAUAAAUAGUUACUGAUCUUU